CGCCCUCCCGGCCCCGCCUACUCCUCCGUCUGCCUGCGCGGCCCCACCCACUCCCUCCCGCGGGCUGGCGCCGUCACGCACAGAGAGCAUGCGCCCCGCGGUUCCGCCCCAAAGCGCUUCACACCAGAGGUUCUUCUCGCGGCUGCCGGCCGCUUCGAACCCUUUAAGGAAGCCUCUGAGGGGCUUGAAACAAGAUCCAGGCGACCUGAGGAAGCUGACCAGCUUCAUUUUCCUGCUCUUCCACCCUCGCUCCUGCCCCCGGAGCAGCCCCAUCUGAAACCUGGAGCCACGGAGCUCCCAUUUCUGCAGAAGCCGAGUGUGCUCCAAGGCCGGGGUGAAGCUUGGUCUGAAACUUGUUCUACACAGGCUCUUCUGUAACUUCCAACUGUGGACAGGACAGUUUCCCUGUGUCCUGGGGAAGAAAAUCAUUUCAAUUCUCCUUUCUACUUCAUCGGUGAGGAGUGAUCUAACUUCUGUUUCUACCCCAGCAUCACUA
rnacentral:lncRNA from 1 species